rnacentral:rRNA from 1 species
CGGGGGGGGCAAGCGUUGUUCGGAAUUACUGGGCGUAAAGGGCUUGUAGGUGGCCAACUAAGUCAGACGUGAAAUCCCUCGGCUUAACCGGGGAACUGCGUCUGAUACUGGAUGGCUUGAGUGUGGGAGAGGGAUGCGGAAUUCCAGGUGUAGCGGUGAAAUGCGUAGAUAUCUGGAGGAACACCGGUGGCGAAGGCGGCAUCCUGGACCAUUACUGACACUGAAAAGCGAAAGCCAGGGGAGCAAACGGG